CCUACGGGUGACAGCAGUGGGGAAUAUUGCACAAUGGGGGAAACCCUGAUGCAGCGACGCCGCGUGAGUGAAGAAGUAUUUCGGUAUGUAAAGCUCUGUCAGCAGGGAAGAAAAUGACGGUACCUGACCAAGAAGCCCCGGCUAACUACGUGCCAGCAGCCGCGGUAAUACGUAGGGGGCAAGCGUUAUCCGGAUUUACUGGGUGUAAAGGGAGCGUAGACGGCAGGGCAAGUCUGGAGUGAAAGGCGGGGGCUCAACCCCCGGACUGCUCUGGAAACUGCCAGGCUGGAGUGCAGGAGAGGUAAGUGGAACUCCAUGUGUAGCGGUGGAAUGCGUAGAUAUAUGGAAGAACACCAGUGGCGAAGGCGGCUCUCUGGUCUGCAACUGACGCUGAGGCUCGAAAGCAUGGGUAGCGAACAGGAUUAGAUACCCCUGUAGUC
rnacentral:rRNA from 1 species